CAGCCGCCGCGGUAAUACCGGCGGCUCGAGUGGUGGCCACUAUUACUGGGCUUAAAGCGUCCGUAGCUUGGUUGUUAAGUCUCCUGGGAAAUCCAUCGGCUCAACCGAUGGGCGUUCAGGAGAUACUGGCAACCUAGGGACCGGGAGAGGUGAGAGGUACUCCAGGGGUAGGAGUGAAAUCCUGUAAUCCUUGGGGGACCACCUGUGGCGAAGGCGUCUCACUAGAACGGCUCCGACAGUGAGGGACGAAAGCUGGGGGAGCAAACCGGAUUAGAUACCCGGGUAGUCCCAGCUGUAAACGAUGCGCGUUAGGUGUAUCGGUGACCACGAGUCACCGAGGUGCCGAAGAGAAAUCGUGAAACGUGCCGCCUGGGAAGUACGGUCGCAAGGCUGAAACUUAAAGGAAUUGGCGGGGGAGCACCACAACAGGUGGAGCCUGCGGUUUAAUCGGACUCAACGCCGGGAAGCUCACCGGAUAAGACAGCUGAAUGAUAGCCGGGUUGAAGACUCUGCUUGACUAGCUGAGAGGUGGUGCAUGGCC
rnacentral:rRNA from 1 species